UCCCAGGUCCGCUUCCGCCUGACACCGCCCUCCCCGGUGCGGUCCGAGCCGCAGCCUGCGGUGCCGCAGGAGCUGGAGAUGCCCGUGCUGCAGAGUAGCCUGGCCUUGGGCCUGGAGCUGCGGGCCGCAGCCGAGAGCCACUUUGAUGCUGCGAAGGCCGUGGAGGAACAGCUGAGAAAGUCGUUCCAGAUCCGCUGCGGCCUGGAGGAGAGCGUGUCCGAGGGAGCCACCUGGGCCGGGGCCAGACAUGACCAUCUUGUGUGACCCAGAAACACUAUUUUACGAAUCUCCACACCUGACCCUGGACGGUCUGCCCCCUCUCCGACUUCAACUCCGGCCCCGCCCUUCAGAGGACACCUUCCUCAUGCACCGGACACUGAGGCGAUGGGAAGCGUAGACCCCAAAGAUCCCUGGAGGGCUAGUUCGUAUUUUUGUGUUAAACUAUUUGUUAGAAUAAAGUAAUUUUGCUAAUAA
rnacentral:sRNA from 1 species